rnacentral:lncRNA from 1 species
CCGAAUUGAACAUGAGACAAAGAAGAUGGUUGGAGUUGAUAAAAGACUACAAUUUAGAAGUACACUAUCAUCCCGGCAAGGCCAAUGUUGUAGCUGAUGCUCUCAGUCGGAAACAACAUGUUAGACCUCUCCUAGAGGAAGGCUUCAAUUUAUUGCAUCCUGUGGUCCUGCACAACAUCAUAGUUAGUUGCUCAUUAGAGAGUCAAAUCAUAGAGCUCCAAAAAUCUGAUCCUGGUAUUUUUCAUAUCAAGAGAAAAAUUCAAGAGCAAGACACCAAGCAUUUCAGGGUAGAUGAGAAAGGUGUACUGUGGUUUGACAAUCGACUAGUUGUACCUAAAGAUCGUGACCUACGCAACAAAAUUCUAGAAGAAGCUCAUUUUUCCAAAUUGUCAAUUCAUCCGGGUAGUAGCAAAAUGUACCAAGACUUAAGACCUCAUUUCUGGUGGACCAAAAUGAUGAAAGAAAUAGCAGCCUAUGUCGCAAGGUGUGAUACUUGCUGCAGGGUAAAAGCAGUUCACCUAAAACCUGCAGGUUUAUUGCAACCUUUGUCGAUUCCAGGUUGGAAGUGGGAAGAAAUCAGCAUGAAUUUCAUUGUUGGACUUCCCCUUACUCAAAAAGGGCACAAUUCUAUAUGGGUGGUUGUUGAUCGUUUGACCAAGUCGGCUCAUUUUAUCCCUGUACACUCUACAUACCGACCAUCCGACUAUGCUGAGUUGUACUUCUCUCAGAUAGUUAAAUUGCACGGAGUGCUUCGCACUAUUAUUUCUGAUAGAGGUCCUCAUUUCACUGCUCGCUUUUGGGAGCAUCUGCAUUCACUCCUUGGUACAAAGUUGGUUCGCAGUUCAGCCUAUCAUCCUCAAACCUCCGGUCAGACUGAGCGUGUGAAUCAAAUUCUAGAGGAUAUGUUGAGGGCAUGUGUUAUAUCUUCCAAGGGUGCAUGGGAGAAAUGGCUACCCUUAGCUGAAUUCUCUUACAACAAUAGCUAUCAAGAAAGUAUCCAAAUGGCUCCUUUCGAAGCCUUGUAUGGCCGCAAAUGUAGAACUCCGUUAAACUGGGUCGAACCUGGUGAGAGGAGGUACUACGGAAUUGACUUUGUCAAAGAAGCGGAAGACAUGAGAGCUGCCCAAGCUAGGCAGAAAAGCUAUGCUGACCGAAGAAGAAAGCCAAUUUUGUUUGAAAUAGGUGACUUUGUGUACAUUAAGGUAUCACCCAUGAAAGGAGUGAAUCGCUUCGGCGUUAAAAGGAAGCUUGCCCCUAGGUAUGUGGGUCCCUACCAAAUCAUUGAGAAGAGUGGCAAGGUAGCUUACAAAGUGCAACUACCUCCCGAAAUAAGAGCUAUUUUCCCUGUAUUCCACGUGUCUCAACUCAAGAAGUGUCUUCGUGUGCCCGAAGAGAGAGUUGAAACAAGAGAUAUCAAGUUGCAGUCCGACCUAUCCUAUGAAGAAAAGCCUGUACAAGUUCUUGAUGUCAAAGAACGAGUUACUCGUGGGAGGGUGAUCAAACUUUUUAGAGUUUUGUGGAACCGUCAAAAUGAGAGAGAUGCCACUUGGGAAAGGGAAGAUUAUUUACAAGUAACUUAUCCCUCAUUCUACGAAAAGUGGUACGUCUUUCAAAUCUCGGGACGAGAUUUUUGUAAGGGGGGAGGGCUGCAACACUCCUAGUGUUAGCUUGCAUGUUAACCAUGAGCAUUGCAUCAUCAUAAGCAACAUCAUGAUCACUCAUGAGCAUCACACCACGAUCACAUGCCAUUUGCUACAUGCACUACAUGAUUAAAUUGCUUGUGUGACUUGAAUUGAGUGACUAUAAUGGGUAGCCAAUGCACACAAUUGUACAUUGUCUUCCAAAUUAAUUCAAUCAUGUUUAGAAUACCAUUUGGAACAAAGUUCAUGAUGAAGGUUUUGGCCAAAAAUGCCCCUAAGUCAUGAUUAACCCUAGGAUGGCUUAUUUGACCCCCUAAACCUCCUAUCAAAGAUGUUUUAUGAAAGUAAUGUUAGAGACCUUGCAUGUCUGUGACACCUGAAGCAAAGUUGUAAAGAAUUUCAUAAGCUACAAAAGUUAUGUCGAUGACUUUUUAUGAAAAAGCUUAGAACACAUCCAUUAAUUGCUCACAAGCCAAAAAUCAGGGCUGAUUUCACACUUAGCCAAAUUUGGCUAAGUGUUGAGUCACGCAGUUUCGAGGAAGGGUUGUUUGGAGCUUUGUAGUUUGAAAUCCAGACUGAGUUAGACUUUGAUCUUGUAAUCAAAGUUGUAGAACUAGUGUAGCUCUACCCAGAGGGUCAAAUCUCAGCCAAAACCACCAAUUGAGCUGAGAGUAAAACGUUGACAAAGUUCGAGUUUCAGUCACUGGCCAUGGCAACUGAAUCGCUCGAUUCAGUUUGGACAGAACCGUCCGCCGCCGCGUGUCCGGCCACCUGUUGGCCGUACGUCGACGGCGACCCCGCCUGUCAGCUCCCACGGCGUCCCUAAGUCACCACGCACCGGGUGGACGCCUCAGACGCGCCCUCCACUCGCUCAGCGCAGCACAUUUCGCUCCGCCGUCGCCUCAGGAAGCUCCGCCGCGCUUCGGCGAGCUCCUCCGGUCGUUCCACCGCGUCUCCAGCCAAGCCAGUCCGCCAAGAGCUCCGCCUUGACGUCCUCUACCUCGACGUCCACUCCAUUCCCUUAGCCGAGCACCGGUGAGGUCACAUUGUCAUCUCCGUCGCGAGCUCCACCUCGCCGGAGUUCACAGAGAUCACCGGCAACGUGGCCAGACCUCUCUGGUUCACCUCUGGCCGCGAUUCUUCUUCCUAUAGCUUCGCCUUGAGCCGCUCUUGCUCGUCCGCAACCUCUACCGCGUCGCCAUUGCCUGGAUCCACCGGCGUAACGCCGCGCAGCGCCGCCGCUCCACCAUUCCCGACGGCGAGCACCUUAGGGUCCAGUAGAGCGCGGGUAAAGUAGGUCAACAGAGUCGCCUUGAUGAGAGGAACACGUAGGUGCCCUUAGAUCCGGCCGAGACCUCGUCGUCGAUGAGCUUCGCCGGCGACGAGCAUCUCUCCUGUCUCUGUCUCACUGACGCGCGGGUCCCGGAUGUCAGCCUCUGGGUUUCACCCCCCUGGUCACUGUUGUUGCAGAGCCUGUGCUGUUUUUGAAAAAUUCAUAUCUGGAGUUUUAGAGAUCCAAAUGUGGUGAUUGCAAUUUUGCUAGGUUCCAGCAUAAGUCUAGUUUUUAAUAAAAAUAUGAAACAUGCCCUGUUUUUGCAGAAAUAAAUAGUUAUAAAUUAAUCUUGGAUUUUCAGUGGGUAAUUAUAUCUUGAGAUCUAUUGAUCUGCUGGCCAUGCAAAUUUAGGGAGUUGUUACUUAUGAUAUGAGUAGUCUCUGAUAAAUUUAUCAUGAUUUUUGGAAGCCUGGUUAAGAAGUUAAAAAUAAUUCUUGCUUAAAUAGGAGUUUCUUGUGAUAUUUUUAAUAAAUAGGUUAUAGCUCCUUUUGUGAUGAAACUUGCUGAGUGCUGUACUUAUGUGUAGACAAAGCUAGGAAAAAUCUGAAAUCUGUCGUUUGACACUUUUCGAUAGGGUUUCACAUUUAUGCCUUGCAUGCCUCUACUAGCUUGUUAUUUUUUAUAUCUCACAAUGUUUGUGUGCAAAUGUUCUGAAAAUUUUACAGUGAUCUUAUGUUAGCAUAAGUAGCUUGCUGUAAUUUUCUUAUGAUUUUUGGAACACUUGGAGUAUAUGUUCAUUAAAUCACCUUAAUAAUUAAAUAAAUGGAAAAGGUGAUGAUAGAAAUAGUUUUAGACCUUGCCAUGAUAUUUUCUUGUGUUUCUUAGAUAUGUUCUACCUACUGGUGCAAUUAGAUUGUUCCUUUGAUACAUCCUCAACAUGUGCAAAAUAUUAUUUUUGGCUAUUUAUGCCUUUCCUAGAGCAUUUCUGUGUAGCUGAUAGCAAAUGCUUGAGAACUAAUUAAAGAUGUUAAUUUCUGGGAAACUUGUCUACAACAAACUUGUAGCUAACUUAUUGAUGUACUUCGUGUCCAAAUUUCAUGGCAUUUUGUUGAGUAGUUUGAAAGUUAUGCAUGUUCCAAGUAGCUGCUGCAAAGUGCUUGCUCUCUGGAUUUUCCAGAGCAGCCAGCCAACUUUGUAGGUUUUGGCAUACUUAAGUUGGGAAUUAGUCUGGGAUGUCUAAAAGUGAACUGUAGACAAUUUGCUAAGCUUUCCAGAAAGUGCUUACUUGCUUCAUUUGGUUAAAUUAUGCUUAAGUUAUGGCUGAAACUUGUGACCGGUUGGGUGGUCUACUAAACCAGUGACUGGGUAAGAGUAGCUAGGACUUGUUUAACUUGUCUAUUUAGUCUCUCUACCAAAGAAGAAGUAUGCAUUACUUGUUAUACCUUGUUUAUGUCCCUUUGGCUCUUCAUCAUGGCAUCAUGCUUCAUAUGUGCAUUCUCUAUAUUCAUCUCCUUGUCAUGCAUCCAUAGGUGUACCCAAAGGUGUGACGGUGCUGGAGUUCGAGUUGCCGGAGCCGGAAGGACAGCAAGGGGAGCUACCUCAAGGAGCUGAGGAGGAGGAGGACUUGCCGGAGUGCCCUGACCAUCGUCCCUCUACCUACGUCGAAGGCAAGCCCCAGAGCAUUAUAAGCCUCCUACUAUUUUAUUAUCAUGUUCAGCUAUCAAACGACUAUGGUUAUAUAUUGUUGCAUUAAGUGGUAGGCGUUGAUAUGACACCCUUGCUGCAUAAUGACUACCUUGUUCACCUUAAACAUUAUCAAAGUAGGUCCAGGAUCGAAGUAAUGCUUAGCCAUGCUUAGCUCGGUAGAAGCCGGGUGAUUUUCUGUCACCUGCGAGAGUUAGGUGGAUGAUGAUCACGGUUGGCUAUAUUUGCUAUCGUGGAGAUAACCAGGUGCUAAAAAUGAACUUGAGACCGGGCGGGAUGACGAUAGUGCAACAACAAGGCAUGGAGGUCUUGGGUGCGAAUCUAUCCCCGUCUGUGUCGUUUAAGGACCGAAUCGCUGUACGUCCCCGUGUCAUGUUGAACGCAUGCCUAUCACUUAGUUGGCCGGAUAAGUCAUUCCGACCGCGAAGCCUACGAGUGCAACUCAGGCCGGAUACCCCGUUCUGUAUGAGUGCGCACCCCGGUUGGUAGCAAGUAUGUGCGGGGAGUCAAUGGCAUAAGACCGAGGUGUCAAGUUAGAGUCCUGACCCUGGCAGAUUGGCGGUCCCUAGGGGUGCGGCGCUGGGCGGACCCGCGAAUUGGUCCGGAGUUGUGCUAAAGGUGAUCCGAGCUGCCGUCAUGAAGUAUGCUUGGGUGAGUGUAAGGAAUACCCCUCCAGCUGGAUAGGAAUCGAUUCGAAUCGCCGUCUCUCCCGGAUAGUGAGAACUUGACUUGGGCAGCGGCAACGUAGAAUUCACUAAGCAAACAUAAUGGUUAUGAUGAGAAUGUUGAUAGCAAAGUGAUAAUCUGGAUAUGGUUAUUAAUGUAAUGCUUAAAAACUCAAGUGUAUGCUUAGAACAGGUGCUAAUCUAGUGGAUAGUUGCUAAGUAAUGAACCUGCUGCUGAAAUAUGAUAAAUAAAUUACUUACCACAAAGGCUUUUAUGCAAAAAGGUGAGUCAAACCAGUCCACAAAGAUCAGCCUUGCAUACUCCUUGGUGUCACUUUAUUUCUGGUUUGUGACGGGUAAGUCUAGCUGAGUACAUUCUCGUACUCAGGGUUUUAUUUACCCCUGUUGCAGAUGAUAUCGUCUAUCACGGCUAUUGCGUUAACUGUCAUCACCUAGCUGCGGAUGAUGAAUAGAUCAUGGGCGUGAUCACUCUUCUACCUUCAGUUAUGCUUUUGUUGGGACUUGACUAUGGAACUGGCUUGUAUUAUAAACCGAGUUGGAGUUGUUUCAAAACUACUUUGUUUCCACUAUUGCUAUGGGUUGUAAUAACCUCUUUUAAACUCUGAUGUGAUGUAAAACUAUGUUCUAUGUUGAAUGUUGUAAUCUGCGAUGGUGAUGCUUGAUCAUGUACGAUCUUGGUUGUAUGUUGGUUGAAUCGAGGUCUUUUGAGAUUUCAUCGGACUACCGGGUUUAUAUGGGUUCAAGUCCAUUGGCUUGACUGCCUCAGUGGUCGCUAAUUCACUUGAAUUCUUAUAAAUUGGACGGUUCUGCUGUUACACAUAAGUUCCAUAAGGGCAUGUAAAGGUAGUCUUUUCUCAGUCAUCUGGGUGGAUUGGGAUUUGGUGAUAUCCAGAAUAACCAUCAUGGAAACAGAAGAAAGAGUGGUUUGCAAGCUGUUCCAACAUUUCAUCAAUGAAGGGUAACGGAAAGUGAUCUUUCUUUGUAGCCUUGUUGAGUAUUCGAUAGUCAAUACACAUAUGCCACCCAGUGACAAUUCAUUGAGGGAUGAGUUCAUUCUUCUCAUUCCUAACGACUGUCAUUCCUCCUUUCUUUGGCACUACUUGGACAGGGCUAACCCACUCACAAUGUGGCACAGGAUAAAUAAUCCCAGCAUGAUAGAGUUUGAGGACCUCUUUCUUAGAAACCUCUCGCAUAGCAUUGUUAAGUCUCCGUUGUGGUUCCCUUGAAGGUGUAAAAUUGGGAUCAAUAGGGAUACGAUGAGUGCAAAGAAUGAGACUAAUGCCCGUGAGAUCUUCGAGAGAGUAGCCAAAUGUUGAUCUAUGUCUUUCAAGAACAGUGACAAGUUGUUGUGUUUCAUAAUCGGAAAGCUUGUCACUGAUAAUUACUGGAGUUUUUGGGUUAUUGUGCAAAAAGACAUAUCUAAGGCCAGAAGGAAGAGGUUUCAACUCUAUCGAAGGAGGUGAAGGUUGUUCAUUUUUGUCUAGCUCAACGGGUUCUACCAACUCUUCUUCUUCUUGAACAAAGUGUUCAUGAUUAAAGAAUGGUUGGGCCAUCUCCUCUUGAGUCAGCAUUAAGAUCUCCUCAAUAGGAUCUGGUUCAAGUUUGGGUUCCCCUAUCGUGUUAAUUGAUCUAGCAAGAGGAACAACAAUAGUGGAAUUCCCAACCUUGAAGUCUAAAUGACCUCGUUGUGGUUGUUCUUGUAGAAGUUUCAUGAUUGGUCUGCCAAUCAAUAGAGGAAUCUCCGGUAUGUUAAAAAUGUGAAAAUCUAGACAUAUUCUAGAGUCCUUGAUUCUAACAGGAACUGCCCUUAAUACCCCAUGGCUUUCUAGAAUUAAUCCAGAUGGACUUUGUAAAAGGUUUUGAGAUGGGGUUAUGGACUCAUUGGGAUAAAGAGUGUUAGCUAACUCCUUGGAAAUAACAUUUAUCCCAACAUAUGGAUUGUAGUGGACCUUCCUAGCGGACCCUCUAAUUUGGCACAGAAGAAUGGUUGAAGGAGUGAUGAUCCGAGCUACCUCAAGAGACAGCUUUGCUUCUGUUAGCCAUUCAUAACUCAGAAUAGCCGAAAGGCUUUUGAUGUGUUCUAUGUCAACAGAUUCUACUCUUAGAACGGAUUGAGUGGUCCCUGCUAGAGGUCGUGUUUGGAUAGAAAAAUUCGAGGUGUUUUCGUAGUCUUCAAAAAGAUCUUCCUCGAAUUCAAAGGGAUGCUCUAAAGGUGGUGGUUCGUCAUCCCUUAGUUGGUUUUGCAUUCCCUUAUUAGGAGGUUUCUCUACAACCAAAAUUAAUAGAUGGGUCAGGUGGAAUUUCUAACUCGGUUGCAAGUUCCUCAUCUUUUGGUUUAGGAUCAGGCUCGACUUCUUUUUCUUCUUCAGGAAACUCAUCAUAAAUGCCUGUGUAAGGGGUAUUUUCAAGGAUUCUCUCUAGGAUAGCUCUCCCCUCAUCUAUGAGUUUGUGUGCGAAUGAGCCUCCUGAAGCAAUAUCGAUGUGAAGAGCAGCUUCCUUGUUUAGACCACGAUAAAAGUGGUAGUACAGUACAUGGUCAGGCAGGGAAAGGUUUGGACCGGAAUUGGUAAGGCUUGUGAACUUAGCCCAAGCUGCUCCUAAAGUUUACUUCUCUCUUUGUUUGAAUGUAAGAAUUUUGAUUCUAAGGUCAGCGAUUCGAAAAAGUGGGAAGAAAGCGAGACAAAUGUUGUCCCGAAGUUCAUCCCAAUUUCCAUUAACGCCUCCUACAGAAUGAGCAUACCACUUUUUUGCUCUUCCCAAAAGGGAGAACUGAAAUAAUUUCCAUUUAAGGGUUUCUUGUGUCAUGCCGGAAAUAGAUCGGCAAGAGCACAACUGCUCGAAUUCUCUAAGGUGGGUGUAUGGAUCUUCAUCUACUUUCCCGGAGAAGGGUUGCUCCUGAAUCAUGGUUAUUAGAUAAGGGCCGAGGUCGUAGCCAUCUGUAAGAAUUGGAUGUGAUGAUGGUGGUGGCUCUAAUAACUCACCCUUUGGAGCAAAGAAUUUAUAGAUAGGAGUGAAAUCUAUGUGGUAUGGUGAAAAUGGUAAGGUGAGUGUGGUAAAAAAAGGAAAAGAAAAAGGAUACACGGACAACUUGGUUCGAAACUAGCACAGCUACCGUUCCCCAGCAACGGCGCCAGAAAGCUUCUUGGGUAUUUUAAACGCAAAUAGAAAAAUCCGCAAGCGCACGGAUACCGAUGUAGCUUUCACCCGGGAGUAUUCCAGAGUAUCGAUUUUCCACAGGGAACGUGAGUGUACUAAUUAAGAUUCAAGAUCGCCCAAGGAUAACUAUAUACUUAUUUUUGGUGGGAAGAGAGGAAGUUUCCUGAGAGUUCUCUAGUUGAUCUAAGAAUCAAGAAUUACUUCAAAGAUUAUUUAUUUCGGGACAUCAGAACACUAACCACAGAAAGAGAUGAGAAGGGGCCUAGGAAGUUCUGACUACUACGGUCCUACAAACACCGAUCCGAAUGAGGUGGAAUACGUCGACCGUUAGGGCUGUCACUACCCUAGGGUUACCACAACAAUCCGCAGGAUUGGGUGCAAUUCCAGGUAAUUGCAAGACUAAACACCACGUCUAAUCUAUUAAUUACUACUCUAGCGUUGCAAAGACUAGAGCACUUGAUGCAAGCGGGAAUCCAAUAAAUAACUUGAGUAUAAAUAAAAGUAAUUAAAGAACUCAGAAAUUAUGAAUUUAAGAACUUGAAGAACGAUGAAGAACGAACCAGUUGCUGCAAAAGUACAAUGUUGAGGAAGAUCCGACAGAUCCGGAUCCUCCUCCGCUCUCCUCUUCUCUCUCCCUAUUUUCUAGAUUACAACUAGAACUAACUAGAACUAGAACUAGAUGAACUAGAACUAGAACUAGAUGAACUAGAGGGAUCCUCUCUACUUGGAUCAAUAAUUGAAACCCUAGCUUUGAU